GACCCUACGGGGCGCAGCAGUGGGGAAUAUUGGGCAAUGGGCGCAAGCCUGACCCAGCAACGCCGCGUGAAGGAAGAAGGCUUUCGGGUUGUAAACUUCUUUUCUCAGGGACGAAGCAAGUGACGGUACCUGAGGAAUAAGCCACGGCUAACUACGUGCCAGCAGCCGCGGUAAUACGUAGGUGGCAAGCGUUAUCCGGAUUUACUGGGUGUAAAGGGCGUGUAGGCGGGGACGCAAGUCAGAUGUGAAAACCAUGGGCUCAACCCCCGAACUGCAUUUGAAACUGUUGGUCUUGAGUAUCGGAG
rnacentral:rRNA from 1 species